rnacentral:rRNA from 1 species
AUGGACGGCGGCGGCGAGGUGGGCUGGUACGUGCUCGGCCCGAGCCAGGAACACGUCGGCCCCUACGCGCUCUCGGAGCUGCGAGAUCAUUUUGCUAAUGGGUACCUCAACGAGAGCACAAUGCUCUGGGCGGAGGGGAGGAGUGAAUGGACGCCACUAUCUUCGAUUCCAGAGCUGCAUUCUGGGGUCACAAAGAAGGAUCAACCUGAACAAGAAACUGAAGAUGAUUUCGAGAAAUUCCAGAAGGAGGUUAUAGAAGCUGAGUCAGAGGUGGAAGCGCUGAAAGCAAAGGCUGCGGAUGGUAACUUAAGCAAAGAGCAUGUCAUUGAUGAUCCCGAUGAGCGGCCAGCAUCCCCACCAGAUGGUGUGGAAGAAUUUACUGAUGAUGACGGCACCAUCUACAAAUGGGAUCGUACUCUGAGGGCAAUGGUUCCUCAAAAUGAUGUAUCGGGUGAAAUGGACAACAAUGGAGAGAAUGACAUAUCACGUAAAAAGGAUGACUAUGAACUUGAAGACAUGACUUUUGCACUCGAGGAAGAAGUAUUUCAACCACCAGAUAUUCCUGGCUCGUCCACAUUGGAUGAAAACCAUGCUUUAACUGAAAAAGAAAACAAAGUGCCAGAGAAGGUAGAUAAAAGACUAGAAAAGAAGCGGAAGUCUGAGAAGCCAACUGAAAAGAAGGAACCUCAGAAACCUCCAGAAAGUUGGUUUGAUCUCAAAGUCAACACACAUGUCUAUGUUACUGGUUUACCUGAAGAUGUCACGGCUGAGGAGAUUGUAGAGGUAUUUUCCAAGUGUGGAAUUAUAAAGGAGGAUCCAGAGACAAGGAAACCCCGAGUGAAGAUCUAUACUGACAAGGAAACAGGCAGGAAAAAGGGUGAUGCACUUGUGACCUAUCUCAAGGAGCCUUCUGUACCUUUAGCAAUUCAAUUAUUGGAUGGAACAUCAUUCCGUCCUGGUGGUAAGACCCUAAUGACUGUUAGCGUGGCCAAAUUUCAGCAGAAAGGUGACGUUUUUUUGGCAAAGAAGGCAGACAAGCAGAAGAAAAAGAAAGGCAAGAAGGUUGAAGAUAAGAUGCUGGGAUGGGGUGGACAUGAUGAUAAGAAGGUGAUGAUUCCUACUCAGGUGAUUUUGGCGAAUAUGUUCAGUCCUGCUGAAUUGAGAAAUGAUGAAACCCUUCUUCCUGAACUUGAGGUAGAUGUUAGAGAGGAAUGCGUGAAGUUUGGUCCGAUCGACAAUGUCAAGGUUUGCGAAAAUCAUCCACAAGGGGUCGUAUUGGUAAAGUUCAAAGACCGGAAAGAUGGUCUCAAAUGCAUAGAGAAGAUGAAUGGAAGAUGGUUUGGUGGGAAGCAAAUACACGCGAGUGAGGAUGACGGGUCGAUCAAACACGCUCUGAUCCGUGACUACGAUGCUGAGGUUUCAAGGCUGGAGCGCUUUGGAGAAGAGUUGGAAGAAUCCACAUAG